UACGAAGGGUGCAAGCGUUACUCGGAAUUACUGGGCGUAAAGCGUGCGUAGGUGGUUCGUUAAGUCUGAUGUGAAAGCCCUGGGCUCAACCUGGGAAUGGCAUUGGAAACUGGCGACCUAGAGUGCGGUAGAGGGUAGUGGAAUUCCCGGUGUAGCAGUGAAAUGCGUAGAGAUCGGGAGGAACAUCCGUGGCGAAGGCAGCCUCCUGGGCCAGCACUGACGCUCAUGCACGAAAGCGUGGGGAGCAAACAGG
rnacentral:rRNA from 1 species